rnacentral:lncRNA from 1 species
GCCUGAAGUGCAGCAAUCGAGAUUCCCCGUCCAGCCCUUUUGAGUAGGAGUAUGAUAAAUAUUCUUGAGCUGUUGUUUCUCUAUACUUGGGAGGAUUAUCAUCUGAAACCAACUCUUUGAUAGGUCCAUAGAGCUUCGGAGAUGGCAUUAGACCAGUGCUAAAGAAGCAUGCUACUGAUACUCUCAGGCCAAUUUUGUUUGCAACGACUCUGUGCUCCACACUUUUAAAGCGAUCAUUCGUUAGAAGCUGAAAAAACAAUCAUUAAACAAGAAUGAGAAACCUGAACUUGUCUUCACUUCAAUCAUUCAAUGUACACUACACAACAUCUAAAUUCGCAAUACUUGCCUGUAGAAGAUCUCCGAUGUUAACUAUAAGUGUCCCCGGAAGAGGCGGAACAUCAAUCCAAUGAUCUUGGUGAAGAAUUUGUAGUCCACCAAUCUGAUCUUGAAGAAGUACAGUGAGGAAAUGAAAAUCAGUGUGUUUGGUGGUGCCUAAUGUCAGUUCUGGCUGCGGACAUGGGGGAUAGCAAUGACAGAACAAUUCAAGCCCCUUGGCACAUUCCAUAUCUUCUAGGUGAUUAAUGUCCAGUCCCAGAGCCUUGGAUAGUAAUCCAAAUAAAGUAAUCCCCAAUUUCAUUACUUGUUCUGAAAACUCUAUCUGGAUAUCUCUACAAAUUUUAAUCAUAAUGGUAAAUUAUAAGCUUCACUGGUAGGAAAAUAUAGGUCACAUUUAAGAUCCGGAAUUAUCAUAUCAAAAUUCAGCAUACCUGCAUGGUGCUGGCAAUUCCUCUGGUUGAGGAGGAGGAGCCAUAACACAGUAAAGUGUGUCCCUCCAAUCAGCUGCCGGUGCACUAAACAAAUAAAAAUUGCUAUAGUACACCACUUUUCUUGUAGAGUCACGCGUGUAAAACUCUUUCUUCACCUCAGUGUCUUGCUCAAAGAACCUACGUACUCCAUGAAGCAUCUCUUCUAAUACAUUCACUGGAAUCCCAUGAUUCACAACUUGGAAAACACCAAAUGUCUCAGAUGCACACCGCACUUUAUUAACUAUCUCUUGAUGACUCUCUUGAUCUUUAUCAAGGCCUUCAAGAUCGAUGACAGGAAUACAAAAAUCUUUGCACUUGUCACCUGAGUUAUUUUCAAAGACAUCAGGUGGAUGAAUGAAUAUAUCCGGAAUUUUCUUAACUCCAGCGUCUACUAGUCCUUUCACCCCGGCUUUGGUAUCAUCAAAAGCUUGUAAUUCAUUCUUCCGGUUGGAGUAAGAUCUGUGGGACUGUUCUGCUGCUUCCAUGGUAUUACCAGUGACCAUAAACAUCUUGUGUUAUGUGCAUUAUAUAUUGUAAUUGCUAUUAUUUCUUGCCACGCCAGUAGUUCAAAGAUAAAUAAUUGACAGCUGCAUCUAACAACUAGUUUCCCAAAGAUACUCAAAUGUGCAACUUGAAAGCUUCAUUUUGAUAUGUCAUACAUAAUUAGUAAAAGUUCAUCUCAGCAAGUCAUGCAUAAUUUGCAACAAUAACAAUGAUAUCUGCAUGUUUAUAGUUAUUUUUUCGAAUUGAAAAUGCAUGAAUUUGUCAUAUUUGGUGGCAAAUGGUUACAAGUUACAACUGGUGCCUAGUCCUCAUCCUUGUUAAAGCAAUUCUUGGCGAUAGUCUGAACUUCCUAGACACUAGUGAGGUAAUUGAGAGUUGUAAAUUAAUUCUUGGAAGUUUGUAUCGAGUUUUAGUUACGUUUAUUCAGGAAAGUGCUAGUAAGGUAGUCAGUAGUGUAGGAAGUAUAAAUGGAGAAAUUACGUAAAAUCAAAUAAUCAAUAAUAAUAUAACAGUAUAUAUUAGAGGCACUUGAAAACCACACUAUAUUUAAAACAAAUAAGCUCUUUCACAUGGUGUUUGAAGGUGUUGUUGCUUCCAUCUUCCAGGAUACAACGAAUAGAGGUGAUCUAAAGCACUAGAGACCCGCCUCCUACAAACCGAAAACUGAACAAAUAGUCUUCUAUCUCACAAGAACUGAACCCUGAACCUACAGCUCUAACAUGAAUGAGUACAAGAACGGUGGCUGUGCAAGGGGCGAACGCACGUAAAAUGAUGAGGAGAAAUUUGCUAACCAAAUUAAGAAAAUGUUUUUAUCCUUAAAUCAUUGUGAUAUAUUAUUUUGACAUUGUAUUACUUGUAACAAGUCAAAUAUAAAAAACAAAAAAAAAAUCCAGAGAAACAGAGUAAUCCAUAUACAUAUUGAACAUCCCCUUUACUAAUCAACUCCAAUAAUUUGACUACCAAACAAUCUAUUUGAAUCUUUAGAGCCUGAUCUGCAGUAAUGGAGGAAGCCAUUAAGCCCUUAUGAAUACGAGCACAUAAUGAGUUCCCCUUGAUCCAUAUCGAUAGCCUAGUUAAGCAACUUGAAAGCUGAUAGUGCAGAGGUUCCAUCGAGACCUUUGUUGUAAUAGUGUGUGACGAACUCUUUGAUUGUAAUUUCUCUGUAGCACGGCGGGUUUGUUUCAGAUAGCAACUCCUUGAUCGGGCUGUAUGACCUUGAUGCUGUUUUCUCCCAAAAAUGUGUUCUAAAGAAACUUGCCACUGAUAUUCUAGGGCCAAUCUUUUGUGCUAAUACUCUGUGGUUCACACUCUUGAAUUUGUCAUUGGUAAUGAGCUGCACAGAUAAAACAAGUUAAACAAUUUGUAAUCUAGUCAUAGUUUUGUACACAAUGAUCAGUAGUACUAACACAAAGUACCAAAGUGUUGUUAAUCUACCAGAUUAAACGAGUUUUUUAUGACAUAUAACAUCCCUUUACCUGUAAAAGGUCUGCAAUGUUUACUAUUAAAGAUCCGGGGACAUGAGGGAUAUCGAUCCACUCAUUGUCAUGAAUAACUUGGAGGCCGCCUAUGUUGUCUUGUAAGAGUAUGGUAAAAAACCCGCUAUCAGAGUGAUUGCUGGUGGCUAGAGUUAGUUCUGGUUCAGGGCAUGCAGGGUAGUAGUGACCAACUAGGAAAAGGCCUUCAGCACAAGCCAUGUCUUUCAAGUGAUUCCUAUUAAGUCCAAGAGCUUCUGAGAAUAGUUCCAACAGUGUAAUCCCCAUUUUCAUUAUGUACUCUGAGUAAUCAAACAUGAUGUCUCUGCAGUACAGGAUAAUGCACAAAAUCAAAAACCAAGAACUUGUCAAUAUUCAAAUAUUAUGUAUACUGUUUUUGAGUAUAUAUGAUACUACUCAAUUCUUAAAUAGAAUCGCGCAGAGGCAAAACUAAGCAAACAUUUAGUUUUCGACCUACUAAAAGAAGAACAAGUUUUUUCUAAUUGAGAUCAUAAAUGUACACAAAAACACGCAUAAAUCACAAGUCUUGACAUGUACCUGCACACUUCAGGCAUUUCCUCCAGCUGAGGAGGCUCCGGAGCCAUGUUACAGAAGAUAGUAUCCCUCCAGUUAGCUGCAGGUGCUUUAUAAAGAUCAAAAUUGCUAUUAUACAGAAACUUUUUUGUAAAAUCACGCGAAUAAAACAGCUUCUUCAGCUCAGUAUCUUGCUCAUGAAACUUACAAACUCCAUCGAUCAUUUCAUCCAGGACACUCUCUGGCACACCAUGAUUCACAACUCGAAAAAAUCCCCAGUUCUCACAAGCAUCUCUAACUUCUUUAACAACUCUGCCACGUGAACUCUCAUCGAUAUCGAUAUCCUUAAGGUCUAUGCUUGGAAAACCAGAUUUGCUGUGCCUUGAAGAUGGAAUUUGACUUAUUUGAGCUUGAUUAUGUACAAAUAUUCGAGGGAUUUUGGUGACACCGGAGUCUACAAGUCCCUUUACACCAGCUUUUGUAUCAUCAAAAGCUUUCAAGUCACUGUGUCGAUCAUAUCCUUGUGUCUCCAUUGUUUUGGUAGCUCAAAUGUUGUGAUUACUGAGCUGAAAUAGUGAGCAGAUAAGAUGAUGUGGCGCGAUGUGGACGCAUUUUUUCCUGUAUGACAAGGAAAAAUUUAAUCAAUAUUUAUCAACAACGUCACUGCCUCCGUCACUUUUUGGUCAUAUGUUAUAAUCAUAUUUAUAUACCCCUACUUCCGAAAAAUUGAUAACUUAACUACCAAGCAAUUUAUUUUGAAUCUUUAGAGCCUGAUCUGCAGUAAUGGAGGAAGCCAUUAAGCCCUUAUGAAUACGAGUAUGAUACAUAAUCAGUUGGUGUGUUAGGAGUUGUCACACAUCGGUUGUGGGAGGGGUAGAAAGCUAGAAUAUGAGUAGUCAGAACAUUUCCAAGAGGUUUUAUUGGAAGUGUCCAAAAACAAAGUCGUGCGGAUAUCACACAUAGUAUCGUCGUGAUUUCAGAUUUACCAAUCCCGUCAUCAGUAGAAAAAACAACAUUUAAAACCAUAACAAUGUUUUCAUAUGAUACAUGAAGAAGAUCUCCUGCGUGUGCCACAAGAGAUCCAGGAACAAGACGACAUUAACUCAGUGAUUACCAAGAGCAACUAGUAGGUCACCAGUCUUGCAAAGUAUCACUCAGUUUAAUAUAUGAUAACAGCUAAUCAGCUUCGGUGAUUUUGUCACCAAGCAAAUUAUUAAUAUAUUAUUACACAUAUUUAUCUAUUUUGGACUACAAAUUUUGUUCAUUUCAGCCUGAAGUGCAGCAAUCGAGAUUCCCCGUCCAGCCCUUUUGAGUAGGAGUAUGAUAAAUAUUCUUGAGCUGUUGUUUCUCUAUACUUGGGAGGAUUAUCUUCUGAAACCAACUGUUUGAUAGGUCCAUAGAGCUUCGGAAUCGGAGAUGGCAUUAGACCAGUGCUAAAGAAGCAUGCUACUGAUACUCUCGGGCCAAUUUUCUUUGCAACGACUCUGUGCUCCACACUUUUAAAGCGAUCAUUCGU